UAUCUCUGUAGAGUCCUGCAUAUCAAUAAGCGGAGGAAAAGAAACUAACUAGGAUUCCCUCAGUAACGGCGAGUGAAGCGGGAAGAGCUCAAAUUUGAAAUCCUUCAAGGUUCUACCUUGACGAAUUGUAGUUUAAAGAAGUGUUUUCUGUUGGAGUUUUGGUAAAAGUUCUUUGGAAUAGGACAUCAGUAGAGGGUGAGAAUCCCGUAUUUGACCAUUAUUUCCAGCUUUGUGAUACACUUUCAAAGAGUCGGAUUGUUUGGGAAUGCAGUCCAAAAUGGGUGGUAAAUUUCAUCUAAAGCUAAAUACUGGCGAGAGACCGAUAGCGAACAAGUACCGUGAGGGAAAGAUGAAAAGAACUUUGAAAAGAGAGUUAAACAGUACGUGAAAUUGUCAAAAGGGAAGCGUUUGACACCAGUGUUGUUUUCUCGAAAAUCAAUUAAAAAAGUGCGGAUUUUGUAUUGUAUUAGACCUUAUCAGCUUUACUGCUACUUUUUCCUGUCUUUUUUAAUGCACUUUUCGUUUAACAAGUCAACAUCAAUUUCUUUUGUUGUAAAAGGGUCAUUGGAAGGUGGCUUUCUUUUCGGAGAAAGUGUUUAUAGCCUUUGACUUCUGCAAUCGGAGAGAUUGAGGUCUGCAGCGUAGAUCCUUCGGGGUUAGAUGCAUUUGUGCUAAGUUAUAGCCUUUCAUAGACAACUUGUUGACUAUGAUCAGUCAUGUAGCUUACUCGCUUAUGUCAUUUUACCUACGCUUAGGAUGUUGAUCUCUCACAGUCGAGC
rnacentral:rRNA from 1 species